UACGAAGGGGACUAGCGUUGUUCGGAUUUACUGGGCGUAAAGCGCGCGUAGGCGGAUCGCUAAGUCAGGGGUGAAAUCCCAGGGCUCAACCCUGGAACUGCCUUUGAUACUGACGAUCUGGAGAUCGGGAGAGGUUGGUGGAAUUCCGAGUGUAGAGGUGAAAUUCGUAGAGAUCCGGAGGAACACCAAAGGCGAAGGCAGUGUCCUGGGGAGUACCUGACGCUCAGGUGCGAAAGCCAGGGGAGCGAACGGG
rnacentral:rRNA from 1 species